AGCGAACGCUGGCGGCAGGCUUAACACAUGCAAGUCGAACGGACCCUUCGGGGUUAGUGGCGGACGGGUGAGUAACACGUGGGAAUGUGCCUUUAGGUUCGGAACAACACAGGGAAACUUGUGCUAAUACCGAAUGUGCCCUUCGGGGAAGGAUUUAUUGUCCUUAGUAGCAGCCCGCCGUCUGAUUAGCUUGUUGGUGAGGUAAAGGGCUCACCAAGGCGACGAUCAGUAGCUGGUCUGAGAGGA
rnacentral:rRNA from 1 species